GAAACUUCUUAGAACUGGCUUGAUGUUUCUCCUGAAUCCUCUAAUCUGCCCAAUCACUUCCUCUCCUCUUGGGCUUCAAUCUUCCAUCAACAUCCAACAAACAAGCUUUCUUAGUUCAUCCAAUCAAUGCAAUCAGUUUAGCCUAUUCAAUACUUGAUAAACACCAAAGAUAUAACAUCCAUCAAUCCAACAUUACUUAGGGUCGUGUAGGCAUUUUCACUUUUAGCAACAAUAGCUGACAUUUAAUGGUAAAACUAUAAAAUGGAAUAUUUUCACCAGUUUUUUAUUUUCAAUAAUUAAGAAUCUAUUAAUUGGAAGAAAAUAAAAUUAGUGAAGAAAGUCACUUCUUACCAAGGUGAAACAAGAAGAUAUGAUUAAUAUAAUCUGGUUCUUAACAAAGAAACCUACAUUUUCUUUCCACUCAAAAAGUUGGAUUAUCAUGUAGGCCAACCUUGAAAAUGAACUUCUUGAUGACCCAAUGUAGUUGGUUGUAUUCAUCUUAGAUUAAAAUUGUACUGCCAGCAUAUUAGAAAGAGGCAGAAUGGGGUUUAUAAACAGAUAUUUUAAAAAAAAAUUGUGUGAUAUAUAGAACAAAUUAAA